rnacentral:rRNA from 1 species
AGAGCUUGACAUCCCGGUGACCGGCCGAGUAAUGUUGGCCUUUCCUUCGGGACACCGGAGACAGGUGGUGCAUGGUUGUCGUCAGCUCGUGUCGUGAGAUGUUGGGUUAAGUCCCGCAACGAGCGCAACCCUUACAUUCAGUUGCUACGCAAGAGCACUCUGGAUGGACUGCCGUUGACAAAACGGAGGAAGGUGGGGAUGACGUCAAAUCAUCAUGCCCCUUACGCCCUGGGCCACACGCGUACUACAAUGGCGCAAACAGAGGGAAGCAACAUCGCGAGGUGAAGCAAAUCCCAAAAAGGCGUCCCAGUUCAGACUGCAGGCUGCAACUCGCCUGCACGAAGUUGGAAUUGCUAGUAAUCGCGAAUCAGAAUGUCGCGGUGAAUACGUUCCCGGGCU